UAGUGGCGAACGGGUGAGUAACACGUGGGCAAUCUGCCCUUCACUCUGGGACAAGCCCUGGAAACGGGGUCUAAUACCGGAUAACACUUUCUCUCUCAUGGGGGAAGGUUAAAAGCUCCGGCGGUGAAGGAUGAGCCCGCGGCCUAUCAGCUAGUUGGUGGGGUAAUGGCCUACCAAGGCGACGACGGGUAGCCGGCCUGAGAGGGCGACCGGCCACACUGGGACUGAGACACGGCCCAGACUCCUACGGGAGGCAGCAGUGGGGAAUAUUGCACAAUGGGCGAAAGCCUGAUGCAGCGACGCCGCGUGAGGGAUGACGGCCUUCGGGUUGUAAACCUCUUUCAGCAGGGAAGAAGCGAAAGUGACGGUACCUGCAGAAGAAGCGCCGGCUAACUACGUGCCAGCAGCCGCGGUAAUACGUAGGGCGCAAGCGUUGUCCGGAAUUAUUGGGCGUAAAGAGCUCGUAGGCGGCUUGUUGCGUCGGUUGUGAAAGCCCGGGGCUUAACCCCGGGUCUGCAGUCGAUACGGGCAGGCUAGAGUGUGGUAGGGGAGAUCGGAAUUCCU
rnacentral:rRNA from 1 species